UGGGUAUUUUCUCUUCUCAUCUAUUUUCCAUCUCCGUCUUCAUUAAAUUAAUUACUUCAUGAACUCAUUAGUGUAAUGCAAACUUCAAAUAAACGAGCUGGACCAAUCAGUUGGUACUAAUAGUGUGCAACUGUGAUUGUUUCGAGGUAACUAUCCAUCAAUUAAGUUUUCUCACAUUUGAUGUUUCUUAAUAAUUUUCCAGUUUUCAACUUCGCCACCAACGCACACGAUGUACAAGAAGUACCCAAAGCAUCUUUCGACUCAUGCAGUUCCGAAAACCCAAUUGGCACAGCCAUCACAACUGGCCCAGCAAACAUCACUCUCACCUCCGCAGGCGACCACUACUACAUCUGCACUUAUGGCCGCCAUUGCCAGUCGGGACAGAAACUAGCCAUCACCGUCUCAGCUGCCUCCCCAGGUGCCGCACCUUCUGUGCCGCCACCGCCCUCUACAACUAACACCCCUCCAACUACCCCUUCCCCCACAUCAAACGACCCUGCUGCUUGUGAACCUGUCCCGGCUCCAUCGCCUUCCAUGAGUGGAGUACCCACCGUGAACACCACCCCUGGGUCGCUGCCUCCGUUGGGUUCUUCUUCACAUGUUGUUUUAGCUAGCUUCGUUUUAUCCUCCUUGGCUCUUGUCGUGGGUUUGUUCUUUUAGGUGCAGUAGACAUCCGCAUUUGGUCAUCCAAUAUUUUUUUGGGGUCUUUUGAUAUGGGUCCAAUUGGACUAAAAAUUGGACCUAUUUCAAAAGAUGGGCUAUAAUUGGGUCUCUUUCAAAUUUUUCCUAUUUUUUUUUAUUUUUUAUAUAUUUUCUUUCUUGAUAGGGCAGGGUAAAUCGUUAUUUAUUUUAAUCUCUUUUUUAUUUUUGUAUCGGUUUUGUAUAACAGAACAGUGAUGAUUUUUUGGAGUGUGCUAUUAAUAAAGGAAUUCUUGUAGUUGAAAAUAUUGUUAUGCACUAUGUUGGAACUUCGAACGUUAAACUUGUCUGUAUGGUGUUAAAAAAAAUCAUUAUACAAAAUACAAAAAAAAACGAGUGUAAAAUGUCUUUGAUACCUUGGUUUUUAAGAACAAACUCAUAAAAUAAAAAUAAAAACUAAAGACAAUAUUUAGUUUUAGUAAAACAUCAAGCAAGACAUGUACACUUAAUUAUUAAACAAAAUUACUGUUUAAGAAGAAAGUUCAUAUACACAAGCACCAAUAUUACCAUGAUGGUCACACCUAUCGUCUUACUCUUAACUGCUAUUGCUGUCACUAUUUUCUCAACUCCCACUAUUCAUUUUACAAAAUACAAAAAACGAGUGUAAAAUGUCUUUGAUGAAGAAAUUAGGGUUUUACUAUAAAAUCAAUUGAUAAUAUGGAAAAUAGCUCAAUAUCUUAUCAGCCCUUGCCUUGGUCUACACCUCAUCGGUGUGGGUCAUUUUGUCCUCACAUUAUUAACUCUCAAUAGGCCCCCUUAUGUGUGACUAAUUUUUAAGCCUACAUGUGGACAACAAAUUGGGUGAUGUGUGAAAAUGUGCGGCCCUUGAGCUUUCACAUAAGGGUCAACUUGACUUUGAUACCAUGAAAAAGUCGGUGUUCUACCAUAAACCAAUUGACAAUAUCAAGAGUAGCCCAACAUCUUAUAAGCCUUUGCAUUGAUCUAUCCCACUGAUGUGGGACAUUUUGUCCUCACAUCAUCAACUCUCAACAUUUGAUAUGUUGGUUUUUAAGAACAAACUCAUAAAUGGAAAAAACCAAAGACAAUACUUAGUUUUAGUAAAACAUCAAGCAAGACAUACUUAGUUAUUAAACGUUAUUGUUUAAAAAAAGAAGAAAAAAAGAAGAAGAAAGUUCAUAUUCACCACCACCAUAGUUAUUUAGUACUACGGUUUAGUGGUAUUCCUCUUUAUUGGUAAGUGAGAGGUCUUAAGUUCGAUUCUUGCCAAAGACGAAUUUGAACCAUAUUAUUGCUAGCCCAUUGUGAGGCUUAACCCAUUCUCCCACCCCUUAGUGUAGAUAAUAUCGUUGUUCAAAAGAAAAGAAGAAGAAAGUUCGUAUAGACACCACCACCAUAUAUAUUCACCAUAUUCGUCAACCUAACAUCUUAACUGCUAUUGCUGUCACUACCAUUAUUAUCUCAACUACCACAAUCCCCACCACUAUCUCACCACCGCCUUCACCAUAUCUCCGUCGCUAUCAUCCACACCACCUCUCAACCACCAUUGUUGCCACUACCAUUCUUCGCCACCAUCAUCACCGGUGAUGUGAGCAUUCCUACUACCAUUGCCCCUCCCAUUCAUGGACGGAGUUAGAGUUUUUUUUAGUGGAAGAGACCUUAACAUCUACUUAUACUUAAGAAAAAAAAAAUUAUCAUAAUAAAAUAUCGUCUAUAAUUUCAUUUGCUUUUUCUUUUUCCUUAAACUGCACAAAGCCACAACUUCACAACUUGGAGAAAUGCUUUUACAAUGAUGGGCUAUUUCAGAAUAUAAACUGAAAGUAGUGCAAUUAUGGCAAGUUCAAUCUCCACAUGUCUUUUUAUAUGUGUUUCAUUAAAAGGAGCAUAAAUAAUAUAAUCAAUAUGUUAUUUGCAUGUCACUUAGUACUAUGGUCUGGUAGUAUCCUCUUCACUUGGAAAUGAGAAGUAUUAGGUUUGAAUCUCGUGAUGACGAAUUCGAUAUCAAAUUAGGUUGUCCAUUGUGUGGCUUUGUCGAAUUCUCUUUUUCCCUUAGUGUAAAAAUAUCGAUGUACUAAAAAAAAAUUUAUUUGCAUUGCACCUUCUAUAAUAUCAUAAUUUUUUUUUCUCACUAAACUUAGGUGCCUCCAGUGAUCCUUAGCUGCCACCAUUCAUGUCCCCACCCCGCUAUUAUCACCACUCAUAUCCCACCAUUAUUGUUACCACCACCACUGUUUCUAAUUGCACAACCCUCGUUGCAAUCAUCUCCACCACCAUCCCAUCAUCUUAAAAUAUAUAUUACAAAACAUUAUCAUCAAACACGAAUUUCUUUUAUUGACAUUUAUAUAUCGAUAAACAAAGACGUCUAAUGUCUUCCUUGUCCAAAUAUAAUUCCCAGAUUAAACUCCUAGACGAAUUCUCGAUGUCUUUUUACUGCUACAUUUUCAGUUGGCUGGACGGGAGCUGGGCCAUGUCACCUACUACUUUAACGGGCUUUGUUUGUGUUUGAAUUUUUUAUCCUGUAAGCUGAAUGGAAAGACAUGAUAUGAUGUGUUAAAAUAAUGAGUUAACACGAACCAACAUCACGACCCAUUUGUCAGGUCCAUGUAGAGGAAAAUGUGAUUUGACCAAAUUUAUUGUUGUUAAAAAUUAAAAUCUCCGCGCUUUUGAAGAUUACAAUAUUGAAAUAGGAAUGUAAGUUUUCCUAGUUAUGGAAUCCCUUUCUAUUGAGUGAUCUCUCAAAAAACUUAUUUGAUGAGCAUAGGUACAUUUUGAAGAAAUUUAAUUUGUUUUAUGGUGGAAUUUUAUCUGAGUAUGUUGUCAUGUGUAAGAAAGCCCAACAGCCUGGCGUGCUUCAGGUCAUCCGAUUUGUGUUGUCCAUGUGUUAUACUUGAAAAUUUGCCAUCCAUAAGGUGUUAUCCCACAUUGGAAAAAAGAAGACCUUGCAUGUGCUUAUAAGCAAGUUAGGCUAUUCCCAUACACCUCCUAUUCAUUUUACCUCAACUUCUUCACAUUCUACAUUGUAUUGCAAUGAUUCAAACAAAUUAUUUUUCAAAUUGUUGUUGAAAAUUUGUUAGUUUGUUCAGUGAGCGUGGAGGGCCAAAACUGUUAGUUUAAAACUCGGUAGAAGUUGGUUAAAAGGGAAGCAUUGUAUCAGAAAGCUUGUUCAUUUGUUGUAGAUUGAUCUUUCGUAAUAAUUUCUAUUUUUUUUUUUUUACAUAAGAGUGAAAAUUGAAGCCAAGGAAAGCUCCAAAAUCCUGGAAUUUGGAAGUUUAGGCGGGUCCCCCAAGUUUAUCACGUUAGACUAUACGACCAUGUACAUCACAAGAAUUCUUCAACCCGAUAAUAAUUAGGUUAUUACUUUAAGAACCUACUAAUGAGAGAAAGUCGAGCAUCAUUAAACAGCAAAAAGAAAAAGAGAACAAGUCUUUUCAUGAAAUGUAGUAUGAUAUGAAAGAAGGUUGGAACUUUCCACUUUGGGUCUCGGUACAACAUAAUAGACUAGAAUAGUCUAACAUGCACCAGAAAUCAAAGUUAAGAUGACCGACUUCCCAUGCAUCUUCUUAUUGUUGUUCAAGGCAGCCGUGUCUAAGACUCUACCAAGUCUUGCUUUUUCAUUACACUCUUCAGCUUUCCCUACCUCUCUAUUUAUAGGCUUCAAUUCAUGUAUCCUUGCCAUACACUCUUAUCAGCGAUUACCUAAAACAAAUCAAUUUGCUUUAGUAAUCACAGCCUCCUACACAAUUUUCCUAGAGAUAUAGAGAGAAACAGAGCUAGAUAGAUGGAGAGCAAGAUGGUGAUUGUUUUCGGUGUAGUUGUGGCUGUGUUCCUGCAAAAUGUUGCAGCACAGACGGGACAUGUGGUGGGAGGAAGCAUAGGUUGGACCAUCCCUCAAUCUGGUGAACAAGAGUAUGUCACUUGGGCUGCAAGUAACAAGUUCGUUGUUGGUGAUACUCUCAGUAAGAUUCGCUUCUCUUCUGAUUUCCAUCGUCUUCUUCAUUAAGUUAAUAACUUCGUGAACUCAUUAGUGUAACACUCUUCUUCAAAUGAACCAGCUAGACAGACCCAGUUAGGACUCCGCAUUUACUGAUCACAUUAAUACAUAUAUAUAUAUAUAUAUGUAUAUUUGAAGUGAAUCCACGAGUAUUUCUGUAAAAUAAGAGCACAUGAUCGACAAUAAUUAUCAAAUAAAGUUUCAAUUAAUUUCCUCUAGCCUUGAAAUUAUUCCAAGGUAAACUAUCCAUCACUCAUGUUUCUCACAUUUGAUGUUUCUUAAUUAUGUCUCCAGUUUUCAACUUCGCCACCAACGCACACGAUGUACAAGAAGUACCCAAAGCAUCAUUCGACUCAUGCAGUUCGGAAAACCCAAUUGGCACGGCUAUCACAACUGGCCCAGCAAACAUCACUCUCACCUCUUCAGGCGACCACUACUACAUCUGCACUUAUGGCCGUCAUUGCCAGUCGGGCCAGAAACUAGCCAUCACCGUCUCAGCUGCCUCCCCAGGUGCCGCACCUUCUGUACCACCACCACCCUCUACUACUAACACCCCUCCAACUAGCCCUUCCCCUACAUCAAAUGACCCUGCUGCUUGCGCACCAGUCCCAGUUUCAUCACCAUCCAUGAAUGGAGGAGUACCCACCGUGAACAUCACCCCGGGGUCGCCGCCUCCGCUGGGCUCUUCUUCACCUGCUGUUUUGGCUAGUUUCUCUUUGUCGGCCGCUGCUCUUAUCGUGGGUUUGCUCUUUUAGUUACCAUGAAGACAUCGCCGGUCCUAAUUAAUUACUAUAUUGGUGAUCCAACCUUUUUUAUAUUGUCUAUCUUGAUAGUACAAAAGUAAAUGGAAUUUGAUCUUAGUCUCUCUUUUGUUCUAAAUAAUUUUGUAUCUGUUUCUUAUAACGAACCCGUACAGGGUGAUUUUUUUUAGUAUACUAUAAAUAAAGGAAUUCGUUUGUUCAAAAUUCUGUUCUGCAAUGAAGAAAGAAGGAAUGUUUUUCUGCCAAAUGGUCCUAUAGUCAAUGCUAAUCUUAUGGCACAUGUAAUAUGAUCGUCCAUUUAACUCUUAGAACUUUUUUGUGAACGUCUGUCCUCUCAAUUUCGUAUCCAUAACAUACAUGCACAAAAAGAGAUAAAGUUCACAUGUAAUGUAAACUCUCAUAAUAAGCACGUCCACCUUUCCUUUCAUGGAUUUGAUCUUGAAAUUGUCUCUACAAACUGUAAUGAAAAUAAAAAUUCCCGAAGUAUUGUGACAUCAUGUGCUUCGGACCUCAAGUUUGAGAUGUAAGCGUACAACAAGGGACUAACAGAAGUUUUUGAACAUAAUUUGGUUAAACCCAUGAACUUUUUGAUCAAUAAAGCAGCAAGAAGAGAACAUUAAAGAAUUUCUAUUCGUCACAAAGAUUCCGUUAAUCGUCUCAGUUCCUAGAGCUUUUAAGGAGAAAGCUUUGAUAAUCUCUUCGCUGUUUCGAAAACUUCUGCAAAUUGUGAGGGGGAUCUGAAACCAUCAUUUGCCGUAGUAAUAAAUUCUCCAACAUAAAGGUAAAUAUAUAGGGCUACAAAAUGUGCUAAGAAAUAUGAAAUACAAUAAAGAAUUAGAAUAGGACUAUACAAUGGGUAAUAAGUUAGGCCAUCUCUAACCGAAAAUGCUAAACAUAGCCUUAUUCAGAAUUAUAGUCCUGCAAAAAAAUAUUUUUAAAUGAAUAGUAUCAGAACAUACUCAUAUACUAUCCAAUCCAACCGAAUGGAAUAAAACAUAGUCUCCUCAAUAAUUUAUUAGUUUUAAGUUUGUACCUUAAAUUUAUUAGUUAAUUUAAUUAAACUAUCGUUGGAUAUUUCAAAUAUAACAGUUAAAUUUGAAUAAAUUAUUACAAAUGAGGAAUUGGGCUCCAAAAAAAGGGCUAAAGCCAUCUCCAAUGGAGAGGGUUAAAUGGCUAAAGGGCCAAAAAAUGGCCUGAUUUGAAUAAAAUCCAACUCUAACCAAAGGCUAAGCUAAAAAUUAAUAGAGCCCACCAGGCCGAAACAUAGUCAAAAGGGCAUCAGGCUGGCCAAGUUUGACUUGACAACCGGCCGUUUGCUGGGCCAAGCAGCAAAUCCUGAGGCCACUUUUGGAAGAAUCCAACGGCUACAAAUUAUAUGGGCAUCAGGCUGGCCAAGUUUGGCCUGAUAGCCAGCCUUUUGUUGAACCUAGCAGCAAAUCCUGAUGCCACUUUUGGAAGAAUCCAACGGCUACAAAUUAUAUUAUACAUCUUUCAAGAAUAUGGAUGUCAUGUCUGGGAGAUACGUAUACGACCAUUAAUAAAAAACUUGGUCUGUUAUUAUAAUCAUGAGGAUUAAUAAUUAAUCUUUUAUAUUAUUACUGAUAAAUUGUUGAAAUUCUUGUGAAAAAUCUUUUUAAGUGUCAUUUAGUGAAAGAAGUUGUCAUUUGCAGGUGGUCCUUUAUCACAGUUGUGAAGCCUAAAAUAAUUCCAAAAUUUUUUAAAGGCGACGCGUGAACUUUUGCUCAAGAAAGACAAGUUGCCCUCAAUAAAUGGGCAUGCUUCUCAAAUGCUCCCACGCGCAGCUCACACCCCUAAAGGUCCCAACAGCUAAAUACGAUUGCCCACAGCUCACAUGCCCUUGGCAAGGAAAAUUCAAAGCAUUAAAGAUAAGAAUUAAUUACCUAAAUCUUAUCUUUAAUACAUUCCCAAUUAAAGAUUGACUCUAAUCAGGUAAGUAAUCCCAUUUAAAAUCAAUUAGGGAUAAUUACUCCAUAUCUCAAGAUAUUAUUUUCUAUUUAAUAUCUUGAUAAUAUUUCUCCAUAAACCCUAACACUAUGGCCGACCAAAUACCUAUAAAUACCCCAUAUUCUACCAAAUUUCGGUAAACUUUUGCUACCUUAUAAAAGCCUUAAACACUUUAUUCUCCUCAGAGAAACUGACUUAGGCAUCGGAGAUCCAUUGACCUAAACCCCCUAACUUGUGGGCGCGUGAGGCUUAGGUCCUUGAUCAAAGGUGUUAAUUGUUUUUCAAGUGCAGUUUCAUCUAGACUGAAGGUGGAAAUUUGCAUCGACAAAUUGGUACUUUUAUUGAGAGCUGAUUCAAAUACUCGAAGAAGCCUCUUGCAUUUGGUUUCUUGAAUUUUCUAUUACAUUGAAUUUUUCACAUGUCGUAUCAAUUAAUUUUCGUAGAAAAGUUUCGUGAUCAAUCCCUAGAGAAAUGAUACAAUGGUAGGAAAUUCAGAAACCACGACGAACGGAACGCCGUACAUACAAGGAUUUGGAUCGGAGAGUGGAGACGAUGAUGUAGCCCUACGACGGAAGUCUUUAAGACUCAACGCGACGGCAGGAGGGGCCCUACCGCCGCGGAGCCGCAUCACCACCACCUUUGUGACCCAACAGCCACGAAAAGGCCACCAGGCCACAGCCUAAGUUCCACCAUCGCUGCCCUCGAAGCGCUGCAACCCACAAAACCCUGGUCAGGAGGCCUAGGUCUAACCAGUGGUCCACGAGCAUGAGGCUCAAGGCUUGGCAACUAUCACAGCAAGCCCAGGGCAGAAGGCUUAGCCCACUGCAGCAACUCAGUUGCCAACUAGUGAGCAUAGGCACUUCAGGCCCAGGCCGAUUCUUAGGGUACCUGGUAACCCAAUGAGGAAUCGAGGCUUAUCCAAGGUAAAUUAGAGCAAUCUUGGACAUGAAGUCUCCUACAACUUUGAAGGAGAUCCAAAUUCUGACUAGACGAGCAGCCGCACUUAAUCGUUUCCUCUCGUUAUUCAUUAACCGAUGUAAGCCAUUCUUCAAGGCAAUCAAAAGAGUGCAGAAUGACAAAUGCGACGAUGAGUAUGAGAAAACAUUUUAGAACCUGAAGUAGUACUUGACAUAACUUCCACUAGUAUCUAAGUCGGAAGUAGCAGAGAACCUGUACAUCUAUCUGGCAGUAUCAGAAGUAGCAGCAAGCUCUGCCCUCAUACGAGAAGAGCUGGGGGCCCAACUGCCUGUAUUAUAUACAUCCAAAGCUCUCCUCGAUGCAGAAACCAGAUACCCGAAGAUUGAAAAACUAAUUUUGGUGCUAGUUGUUGCAUAUCGGAAGCUUAGACCUUACUUUCAAGGGAAUCUGGCCAUUGUCAUCACCCAGUACCCACUACGAUCAGUUUUGCAUAGACCAGAUGCUUCUCAACGAGUGAUGAAGUGUGCGUUGGAACUUGGCCAAUACAGCUCAACCCCACACAUGGACAAAAGCCUAAACAUUGGCAGACUUUACAGCAGAAUUCACCCUAAGCCUGAAGGAUGUAGCAACUCAACCCAAAAGCAUCCCGGAAGCAGCCAAGUACACUGUAGCCGCACUAGCCCCACCUGCAUGAGAUUUUUGUUUUUUGCACGUCGAUGGAUCAUCCAACUACCAGGGAUCGAGAGUAGGCCUAGUUCUUACUACCCCGGACUGUUCGAUGCUCGAGCAGGUGAUCAUUCUAAGCUUCAAGGGGUCAAACAAUGAAGCAGAGUAUGAAGCCCUACUUGCAGGUCUCCGAUUAGCAAAAGACCUAGCGAUGAAGAAGCUCACGAUCUAUUCCGAUUCCCAGCUAGUCACCAACUAAACCUCAAGGGAGUACGUAGCGAGGCAUCCAAGGAUGGCUCGAUACCUCGAGAAGGUACGAGAGCUGCUGGCGACAUUCCAGGCGUACACACUUACUUAGGUUCCACAAGAAAAAAUGCCCAUGUAGACACACUAGCAGGCCUAGGCCCCGCCUUAGACCAUCAGCUCAAGCGCUCUCUCCUAGUCGAGUACUUGGAGAAGUCGACCAUAGAUAAGGAACCAGCAGUCGAGGUGGCGUAGAUCAACACAAAUUUGAGUUGGCAAGAUCCCAUUAUUGACUACUUAGUCAAUGGAACGCUCCCCGCAGACAGACUGAAGUCCAAGAAACUCCAGAUGAAGGCAGCACGCUACUACAUGUGGAACAACAUGCUCGUUCGAAGAUCCUUUUCAGGACCGCAUCUCUGUUGCUUAUCGCCUCCUGACGACCUAAAGAUUCUUAGCUAAAUCUAUGAAGGCGUUUGUGAAAACCAUUCAAGAGGCCACUCCCUGGUGCAAAAAGCUUUUAACUCUGGCUACUACUGACCAACCAUGCAUCAAGACGCCAAAUAGUAUGUACAAAGGUGCAACAGCUGCCAUCACUUCAAGCCCGUGCCUGCACUACUUGCCAGCAAACUUCACCCUCAAACGAGCCCUUGGCCAUUCAUGUAGUGGGCGAUGGACCUGGUAGGACCAAUGCCACCUGCCACUGGGGUUAGAGGCAUGAUGAUCGUAGCAACCGACUACUUCACAAAAUGGGUCGAAGCCGAACCCAUGACUGCAACUAUAAUACCCUGAAAAUUUUAAAAUAUAUGAUUAUAUGGAAAUUUUUUAUCGGAAAGUGAAAAGACGAAAAUGUCUCUCGUUGACUAAACGUAACUUUAUAAGGAUGUAUUUUAUCCUCAUAUACUUUAUCAUAUUUCUAAGUAUAUUUGAAUAGAGGACGACCUUACGAGCGCGUAGGUGCAAAAGAAUCCUAAUUCCGAGUUAGAACGGAAAAGUUACGAGCCUCGGAAGUAGUGAUACUUUUUAGACAUGUGGACUUACUAUUAGUAGGGAGUCUAUAAUUAGUUAGCCUGAAAUGAGAAGGUUUCCACUUCGGGAAACCUGGUGAAGAGGCCCAAAUAACCUAGAAAAACCCCCAUUUGACCUCCUGCGACCUCCCAUAUUUCGAGGUCGAUUUCGGCCAACUCAGGUGGAAUUUUUCGACGACACCACCACCAUCUCCAAGCUCUCACUCCCCUCUACAAAAUCCAACAAGAACCACCUUGAUUAGCCACCAUAUGCGGUGGUGUGAGACCAUAAAAACUGAUGAAAACCAAUAGUGCUCCAGCCACCCUUUUCAUUUUUUCCAGUGAAUCAGCAAAGUGAUGGCCGAUGCCACUACUUGGGUUUUGUAGCCCAUCAUCCUAAGAGUAAAUUCUGACCAGCUUUGAUCCCGUUGGACCACUGUGGGCGACGAAUCGGCACAGGGAAGCUUUAGGCACCCACCGGUUUUAUUAGCGUAAUUGACCCUCUUUCAUCCACUUUGGGACUUCGUGGCAGGUAUAAAAAUUGUUCCUCUUGUUGAGCUCUAUCUUCCUGUAAAUUUUGGUAGAAUUUGGAGUUAGACAAAAAAGUGGGUUUCCGAUCGUCGGAAACCACUACGCACGGUGGCGCGUGGGGGAGAAUAUGUUUAUAUGGAUUUUGGACAGUGGGACAUCCUUGAUGUCCUGAGUCCAUAUCCAAAGUCCGUUUGUUGAAAUUUGAUGGUAUGAUUAAAUAUUAAAUUUUUUUAGAUAAUUGUACCGUUGUACGAUUUAUCGUAAUUGACAACCAUUCAAUCGUUGGAUCGUCACCAAACUUUGAGACGUUAUAGUACAUAAUAUUGAAGGACCUUAGGAACUUACGGAUCGAGAAUCCUCAGUAUGGAUCUUCCCGAAUUGGAUUUGUAAGUUAGUAAAUUAAAACGUCGACCGCCAUUCGAAUGUUACGAUUGGCGGAGAUCCAACCGUUGGAUCGAAAUGAAAUUCUAGUAUGUUGUUCUAGAAGCAUAAUGUGAACUAUGAAUGACUUGAUCCCUUAGUAAGGUAAGUAGACAGUCUAAUGAGAAGGUUACAUGCAACCAUAAUAAAAUACUUGAGAUUAAUCUUUUAGUGAAAUUUGCUAAGAAAAUGAAUUUGGGGCCUAUAUUAGUAAUUAGCUUCCGAAUUAGAAAUUUCGGGUCGUUACAACAACUACCCAGACGGGCAUAAAGCACUUCAUAUGGAAGACCAUCAUCUGUUGCUUCGGCAUCCCGCACUUCAUCGUCACCGAUAAUGGUUUGCAGUUCGUGGGUAAAGACUCGGUGAAGUUUUUCAAAAAAUAUGGCAUCAAGCAGCACAUGUCCAUGCCUCGGUAUUCAUAGGGAAAAGGGUAGGCCGAGUUGUCUAAUAAGACCAUCCUCAAUUGUCUCAAGAAGUCCCUUUUAGACAAGAAGGGCAAGUGGCCAGACGAGCUUCUCGGUGUUCUGUGGGCGUAUCGCACCACCAAAAGAUGAGCAACCUGCGAAACUCCAUUCUCCCUAGCGUAUGGCUUUGAGGUGAUUAUUCCUCCCAACAUCAUGAUGCCAAGCAUCAGCACUAUAUUGCUGAAUUUCAAGCAGAACGAGAAGGAGAUGACCACAAACUUAGACCUGGCAGAGGAAGAGCAUGAGAAGGUUAUCACCUGCAUUGCGGCCUAUCAGCAUCAGCUCAUCUCCAACUACAACAAGGGGAAAAAUUCAGAAGUUUCAGCCAGGAGACCUAUCCUUAGAAAAACCUUCAUCACCGCCCGUCGGGAAGGCUCCAAAAAGAUGGCUCCUAUCUGGGAAAGUUCGUAUAGAAUCAGCUGAGUAGGCAGAAAGGUACCACCAUAAGCAACAAAAAAAUCGACAAGCAAUGGAAUGCCUACAACCUGAUAAAGUACUACGUGUGACCUUUCACCAUUCCUUGGACCCUGUUUAAGAUGAAUAAAGUUUGAAGACUCAAGCAGUUUGAUGAACAAGAUCUUGCAUACCGAGGAUUAUCAGUUGUUAUGCCAUUACUGAUUAUCAACAAAGUUAAUAAAUUUCUCUAUUUUCAAUGAAGAUUAAAGGAAUUAUUCACAAGCCUGAUCGAAUGCAUAAACAAACUGACCAACCAUGUGACAAGAAGAAGGUGCCCUUGCCCUUGCAGACAUGGCAUGUGCUAUCUAAUUAGGAGAUGGUAAACUAAUCCGGAAUGUCCAAACUUGGAUGAGUGGUAUGACUGCUCAGUUUCCCCUAUAUACAACGACUACCUGAGCCUGAUGACUCCCAUAAUUGGCCAAGAUAGUCAUUAUCUUAGAAUAGAUUUAGCCAACUAAAGGAUUCAACUCCGCAGGAUCAUGGGUUUUUAACCGGAAAAGAUGUUAAGUGCAUGACACCUGCCCAUGAAAGAAUUCGUGACUAGAUGAUCUGUCCUCAACGUGCAAGUCUUCAUGAAAGUAGCUUGGUUUUAAAAUGUUGCAAUACUAGUUAAGCGACUUGCGAGAUCAAGCUACCACUCAGAAGGAUAUGGCCUCUAAGGUGCGGUUCUGCUUACACCUUAUGCCUAAAACGCCUCCAAGAGCCAAAGACGACAUCUGAAGUGGUCAUGCGGGUCGUUUGCUUCUGUAAGGAAAACGCCCGAACGACGACCUAACGGCUGGUAGCCCAAGCCAAUCUGUAAGCCGAGACUUACAUCUGUUAUGACUACGUGGACCUGUCUGCUUAUUUAAAAACAGUGUUUCUGAUCGACAGUUUAUGGUUUAAGUUUUGUAGGAAAUAAAGCUGAAGUACAACUAUAGUGGCUAUGUGAACUUCCUCUGCUUUCUACGAGAAGCAAGUGUCCGACCGCCAACCCUAUAAGUUAAAAACUUCGCAAAACGCCCCAGGAGGGCCAAAGCUCAAAAAGCCACUAAAAUCGAAGUACGACUGUAGCAGUUACAAGGACUUCAUCUACUUUCUACGAGAAACAAGUGUCUGACCGCUAGCUCUAUAACUUAAAAACUUUGCAACACGCCCCGAAAGGGCCGAAGUUCAUGAAGCCAUUAAAGUCGAGAUUCACGACUAUAGUAGCUACACGGACUUGCCUGCUUCCUACAGAGACAACGAGUUUGGCCACCGGCUUUAUAAGUUAAAAGUCUUGCACCUUUUUUCCUUUUGCAGACAAAGCUCUAGAAGCCCCAAAGCCAAAACUGAAGCCUAAAGACGACGAGGGAUCGACUGCUCUAUCGAAGUAGUUAACACAACCGCCCAUCUUACGACAAAGUUUUACAGGUCGCCUCAAGUAGGCAAGUCUCUUGAAGCCUAGAAGCCGAAACUGAAACCUAAGUAAUGACGUGGGAUCGAUUGCUUCAUUGAAGCAGCUCACCCAGCCGCCUAUCUUAUGGUAAAGUAGAUGAACUGGAGAAAUGGAGAAAGUCUCGAAGUCAUUCUCGAAAAACUCAUAAUCCGACGGCCUGCCUUGAAGAUGGUCUACAUAGCUAAACUUGUAGAAAUCAGCCUGACAAGAUGCAAGCGCCACUUCGUGACCAACCUUCUCAUUCUUUAGCUGCACAUUCUCUUCAAUAAGCCUAGUGUGAGCACCCUACAACUUAUCCAGUUCCUUUUUCAGGUUCUCGCUAGCAGACAACACACUUUGCAGAUCCACUUCCUUAGACUCAAACUUAUUGGCAACAUCCUUGAGACAAGACAUUUCAGCAUGCAUGAAGACAAACUCCCUGUCCUUGGCAAAACAAGUGGAUCAUAGCUUAGAGUUGACACACUCAAGGUCCUUGACCACCAGAAAAACACGAUUGACUUACUUUUUUGCAACUUCCAAGAUUGCAUGAGUCGCACUAAGCUUAGCCUUCAAAUGGGUGACCUCCUGAUGCGCGGUCUCCAGUUGCAUAGAAGUGGGGGUAGAGACAUUAGACCUCUUCAAAACACCACUUCGGCCUCCUUAGCACACUUGACAGUAUCCUAAUCAACAUGCAUAGACUCAGCUGCCAGGAUCAAAGUCUUAUGCAUCGUGGCAAUCUGGGAGGACCUCAUCGAGUAGUUGGGACGCUUCGCAAAAGAGUUUGACUGGAUGACAACUUUCUCGACACUGUCAACGAACUUGGCACAUGCAUUAAUGUCCUCAAGCAGGUCAGCCUUUAGAAGCGCACAAACCUCGGGAAACUUUCCAGCCUCAAACUUUGUUGACCUCUCACAACUGCCUGUGUGAGCAUAUUUCCUUAUCUCAGCAGACACAAUCACAGCAGAGGGAAGAACAGGCCCAAGCGACACCUUAGCAGCAUAAUCCACCUUUCUGCUCUUCAUAAUGACGAGCCUUUCAGAAGCUAAACCGGACUUAGCUCCCGAUGUGCGCUUCGACAUAAACCCAGACACCGGGGCACCACCGAACCUUUUCACUAGGCAAUCUUCUCAGUAAUGGUUGUGGCCACCUUCAGAGAAGCAGGUUUCAUAGGCUCAGACUCAACGAAAUUUUUUGUCCGGGAGGUCAGAUUAAUGAUAAGCUUCUCAGUAGCAAACGAGCUUGUGAGAGCAGCAAAAGAAGUCAUUGGCUUCUUCUCGGCCGAAGGCUCAUGAGCAGGUGAAAAAGAUUUCUUCUUUCCACCCUCAUUGGCAACAGGCUCUACAACAGUGAUCAGAUGAGCAAACGCUUCAUCAUUUAUUUGUUUUAUCUCUUCAUUUGGAGGCAGCCUACUUUUCUCCCAACGAAGAAGGCUGAGCAACCAACGCCACUCACGGUACUUAGCAGGAAUGCCCAAGGCGAUAUGCACUUUCUUCAUAUCUGCUGAAGUUCUUGGAGUUGAGCCAAGAAUGAUCAAUAAACUAAAGUCAUAUAGCUGCUCAACAAAAAUUCAAGCAGGCCAAGGAUGAAGCAAUUCACUUACCACUGAUAAAGACAGUCUGAACGUGCAACUCAAGAGAAGAGUCAACCUCCUAAUCUCCAUUUACCUCCAAGGUGUCCCUCACCCACUCGUGAUCACCUUUGCAGGGAGCAUCAAGCAACCUAUGGCGAGAUCUCAGCUACCCCACGCUUUCUCUGUGGCUGAUUUCAAAGAAGUACCAGAACUCACUUAUGGUCAAGCUAAGAUCAAAGAACCUAAUUAAGUUUAAGAACCCCACUAUUGCACGAAUUGCAUUUGAGGAACACUGAGCAGACGCGCAUCUCAUGGAGCAGAUCACCUCCUGGAAAAGACGUGGCAUAGGAAAAGUAAAUCCCAACACGAAGCAAUACGGAUGGAAUUUGAUAGCCCUCUUCCUAGUAGUGGCAUAUUCGCCGCACGGUUCAUGGUCGCUAUCAUCAUUCACCUGCUUGACGCAAACCCUAGAUGGAAUCUCAUGCUUGUACGCCUUAAGAAAAUCCCGAAACAGCUCAUCAAAAUUAAUCUUGACAUGCGCAGCCUUGAAAUAGCCCACCUUGCUGGAAGAACCACCUUGACUGUACAAAGGUGGAUGAUACUCGUCCCUUUUGUGAUCGAAGGAAGACAUCUUAAAGUCCCUGUAAAAAGUAUGAAGAAAACUAUUUAGAAGGUAACUCGCGAGAAAAGAAAAAAAAAUAUAAAAAUAAAAAGGACCAUAGAGCCUAGCGCCCUAGCGCUAGGUCCCACGACCCAGCUAAUCCACACGGCCAAGCCACAAAAUGGCCCAACCCUCAGUCUCUUUCUUCAACACGUGGCCCAAACCGCUCCAGCCCAAGAUGGAAGGAGGCCCACGCUUCCCUAAUCUCUUCCUCUUUCGAGUGCCCAGCACUCCAAGAUAGGCCCAGGCCUCUCGACCCAAGCCACCAAGACCCAAAAGCUGGCCCGAGUUGGUCUCUCCUACUCUCUUACCUCAUGCCCACACGGGCCCAAUAGCCCACGGCCCAGUCCACUUGCGAGUGAGGUGAGUGCCUCGCGCUUCUUUCCCUCUUUCUUACUCUCUAGCGGGCCCGGGCCUAGCAUUGCGCCCCUGCACCCUCAGCCUUUUUCAAGCCAUCGUUUGGCCCACACCAACCAUGCACCAAGCCUACCUCGCGCCACCAGCACCUUGGCCCAAGCCGAGUCGACCCCAUGCCACGUUGGCUACUGUGCAUAACAGCCUCGUGGCACCCUUGCCACGUGUUUCACACCUCCUUGGCCCCUGAUUAGGCAAUUUUUCAAGUCCCAAGACUCCCAAAAAAAUUCAAGAAGAAAAAAAUUCAAAUUUUUCUUACCGUGGAACGACACGGAGAAGAAGAACUACAACGAGAGACGACUCUUUGCAAGGGCAAUGGAAGAAGAAAGCUAAGGGAGGGGGAAUAACAUUUCCUCUAACUUCUCUUCCUUGUUAGAAUAAUGAUUGUUCUCCAAAUUUAUUUAAUCCCCUGCUUAUGGAAGAAUUCAAUAGGUAUUGGGGACAAUUGGUUUUCUUUUCCUUGAAGAAGUCAAUCUCUAAAUCAAGGAAAAAGAUCAAGAUCAAAUUGGGAAACAACUCUAGAAGCCUAUGCAGCUUGGGAUUUCUACACCUACUGCCCUUUUCCGACAUGCAGCCCAGCAGGUGUAGGGGCAUUUGUGGAGCCUAAAAUAAUCCCAAAAAUUCUAGAGGUGGCACGUAGGUUUUUGCUCAAGAAAGACAAAAUUGCCCUCAACAAAUGGGCAAGCUUCUCAGAUGCUCACACCCCUGAAGGUCUCAUUAGCUAAAUACGACCGCCCACAGCUCACCUGUCAUUGGCAAGGAAAAGUCAAAGCAUUAAAGAUAAUGAUUAAUUACCCAAAUCCUAUCUUUAAUACAUUCCUAAUUGAAAAUUGACUCCAAUCAAGUAAGUAAUCCUAAUUUAAAUCAAUUAGGGAUAAUUACUCCAUUAUCUCAAGAUAUUAUUUCCUAUUUAAUAUCUUUAGAAUAUUUCUCCAUAAACCCUAACACUAUGGCCGGCCCAAUACCUAUAAAUACCUCAUAUUCUACCAAAUUUUGGUAAACUUUUGCUACCCUAUAAAAUGCCCUAAACACUUUAUUCUCCUCAGAGAAACUGGCAUAGGCAUUGGAGAUCCAUUGGCCUAACCGCCACCCUACCUCGUGGGCGCAUGAGGCUUAGGUCUUUGAUCAAAGGUUUUAAUUGUUAAUUUGCAUCGACAAAUUGGUGCUUCAUUGAGAGCUGAUUCAUAUACUCGAAAAAGACUCUUGCAUUUGGUUUCUUGAAUUUUCUGUUACGUUGAAUUUCUCACACGUCAUAGGGGACAGCCUAUAAACACUUUUAUUUUUAAUUUUUAAUUUUUUAAUAUUUAUGUGGGCACCUAUGACACGUGGCGCCUAGUCACUGUCCACGUGAGUGCCACGUCACCAAUUAACGGCUAAUUUAACAGCAAACUUAACGGAUGUAUGAAAGUGUCCCAAAAUUAUGACUUUAUGUACAACUCUGGGAUGAAAAAAAACGUCAUGUGUUAAAUGUUGAAAAUCAAGAAACUUCAGGGUAGUAAACUGAGAUUUACCCUAAAGGUAAAUAUAUAGGGCUACACAACGUACUAACAAAUAUGAAAUAUAGUAAAGAAUUAGAAUAGGACUAUAUAAUGUGUAAUAAGUUAGGUCAUCUCCAACCAAAAAGACUAAACAUAGUCCCAUCCAGAAUUAUAGUCUUGCAAAAAAAAAAUUUAUUUAAAAUAAAUAGUGUUAGGUCAUUUCACAUACCAUCUCCAAGCGAAAGGGCUAAACAUAACCUCCUCACUAAUUUAUUAGUUUUAAGUUUAUACUUUAAAUUUAUUAGUUAAUUUAAUUAAACUAUCAUUGAUUGUUUUCAAAUUUAACUGUUAAACUUAAAUAAAUUAUUACAAAUAAGGAGCUGGGCCCUAAAAAAGGGCUAAGAGGGACUACAUUUGGCCAACAUGAUGCCCCCUUGGCUAAAUAGUGGUUUGGUGGGUUCUAGAGAAUUAUAGCCCCAACCAUUGGUUGGAGAUGAGUUUUUUAGCAAAUCAGACCAUUUUAAAAUGUAACUCAAAACGUAACAAAAGGAAUAGAUUCAAACUGAUUGUGUGCUAAGAAAAUGACUCCUAUCAAGUUGAAGAGAAAAUUUUCAAGUAGCUGGUAGCUCCACAUAAGAUUGAUAGCUAGUGUACCCGAGCAACAAGAGAUGGACACAUGACUUUUAACAUUUUUUCUUUAAAUACAUAUGAACACGUAUUCCAAAACCAAGAAAACUUCAGUCAAAUGUCAAGCAUUCAUCACCUAUUUCCUUUCCACUAUCCAUGGCAUCGUCGGACCCACCCCAAAUCCCGACGACAUCAUCGGAAUACAAAGCCUUGCCGACUUCUUCCUCUUCACCUGCAUCACUAGACACCCUGGACCCGAACGCGACAACCGAUCGACGGCUCCGGGAUCUGAAUUAGAGAAACUCUGUCAAACUGCUGCCGACGAUGAAUACCUGUCUAUCCUCGGUUUUGUCCUUGCUCCGAUGGACUUCCACUGCCCUUUUAUGGAGAUCCAAUCAGUUGAGAAAUUAAAGGAAAAAAAUUGCAUUUUCUUAAAAAACUCACUGCAAUCUGCUGCCAUGUAUUCUUCUUAAAGAUCAAAACAUUUAUACUAUGCAUAAAUUCAUGAAUGUUUGAAAUUGUGAAAAACCCAGCUAAAAAAAAUUAAAAAAUUCGAGCAAAAUGCUAAAGGGAAUUGAGAAGAUCUACUCAGAGGCCAUGAUACCCGUUAUCUUCUCAGUCAUGGAGCCCACCGUUUUGGAAGUCACAGAAAUUGUUUUAAUUGAAAAAGAAAGCAAGUCACGUGCCUGCCUGUAAUUGGCUUGGUACUCCAAGUCAGGUUGGGUUCCCAGAGUCCAGAAAAAUUUCAGUGAAUUAAGUGGAGAACUGGCAUGAUAUUGGUUCUUUUUUUAUGCCUAGAAUUUAAGGAUUUUAUAUAUUUCAAAGGGCAUUGGUAUUAAUUAGUUAGGGAUAUAAUAAAUACACAUUUUUAGCCUUUUUAACACCCCUAUUUAAUCAUGGGCGUUGUUAAUGUAUAAAAUUCGAGUAAUGUUAUUCAUACCAUGUUUUUAUACCAUAUUUCUAUACCACCUUAGGUGGCAUCUUAUGUGGAUAACCACAUCAUUUGAAAAAUUUGCAAAACCUAAGGAAAGGAAGGAGAAAGACUCAUCGUAUAUCACAAUCAUCAUUUAAUUAACUAGUUUUUCUUAAUUAUUAGUUCAUUAAAUAAUGAGCUAAAUUUAAAAAUCUGAUUAAUUCAAAUGAUGUGGCUAUCCACAUCAAAUGCCACCUAAGGUGGUAUGAAAAGGUGGUACAAAAACAUGAUAUGAAUAGUAUUACUCAUAAAAUUCACUUCCUUUUAUUAGUUAUUGUAUUUUUAUUAGGUUAAUUUCCUACCACUAGUGGGGAGUUGGAAAUGGAUGCAGACAUGGAAGGCAUAUUACUGGAUGUGCACCAUAUGGCUAGACAGUUGGAGUGUAUCGAGUUCUCUUACUGUUGAGAAUGAAUCUCACAUUGAUGAGAGGAAGGAUCUUGCAUGUGCUUAUAAGUAGUUGGACUAUUCCUCCUAUUGCUAAUUGGUUUUAUGAUAUGAUGUAUUAUAAACUAGCACUCAAAUUAAACCCUCUUAUUGACAAUUGUAGUACAGAUGUAAGUAGGGAUCGUUCUAGGCCAGAGAUUAGGAGGGAUUGCUAAUCUACUUAAUACUGACUCAAAAACACAAAACUAGGCUUGAAAACACUUAACUAGACUCAAAGAACUCGAAACAAACUAAAGAGACUCAAAACAACACAAAAUAAUCAAAUAGACUCAAACUAGACACUAAAGGGUGAUUUGAACGAAAAUUAAUUUUAACUUGACUUAAAACACUUAAAAACACAAGUUUGGAUAGAUUCUAACUAAUUUGACACAACAAAGUAAAGGGGAUUAGAUUUUUGACGAAUUUAAACUAAAGACAAGUAGAUUAAAGACUUAAACAAGUUUGGCAUGAAAUUGGGGGAAAUUAUGGGUGAUUGGCUAGCUAGAGGGUUCUUCUCCACACAUGACACACUUGCAUACAAAUCGAUUUCUAGUUGCUUUUCCAAUAAACCAUGAACCUCAACGCCCCAGAUUAACCAUGAACAACACUAAUUAACCCUCAGAUUUUUCUUAAGUCAUUGAAUUGGAUGGAUAACGCAUCAGCAACCAAAUUAUUCUUCAAUAGUUCCCUACAUGAACAACAUAAUAGAGAUACAAUCAAAGAUCAUUAAGUUUUGUGAAAAUCAUAAGCGUUGACAAGACAUUCGUAACUAUGAACAACAUGAUUCUCCUGCCAGGAAUUUACUUAACACGAUUGUGACUAGCAACCUCUACUACUUAUGAAUAUAAGUUCAUAACAAUUAGGUAAAACUCCCUUAUAUUCUAGCAUCAAAUUCAUGCAUGCAAACUAAGUAUGCAUCCUUAAUCAACAAACAAGAAUAAGUUCUGAAUCAAACAGUUAAAUAAAUUGCAUUCAUGAUUUAUGAAAUCACAACUGGAAGUAAUCAAUUCAUAUUGCAAAUGUGUUCAUGGCUUUGAAUUCUCCUCUAGCUAAAACGAGUUUAGCUCCUCAUGUUCACAAUUAAACAAAGAUAACUUAAAUUAAACAUUGAAAACAAAAGAUGGAUUACACCUAAAAACGUUUCAGCAAUCCAACAAUCUUGAAUGGCAGGCACGACUCUAAGCUAUCCUCUCAUUCCUUGCAAAAUUGUGGCACAAGGGUGUGAAUGAAUGGUUCUGUGGAUUGGAUGAUUGGUGUGAACUAUGAUAAAGGAUGGGGGGUUGGUCCUGAAUGGUGCGGCACAAUGUUAUAUUUAAAGGGAAAGAUAGCUAAAAUCCUAAUUAAUUUUGGAGACAGAUUUGUACACCAAAUCCUCAAAGAAGAAGGGUAAUUAAAUGUCAGAAUUCAAGGGAGAAAGGGAAAGAAGAUAUGCGGCAGGAUCCUAGAGGGAAAGGGACAAGGCUUGCACGGCAAGGAAGGGUUUCUAGAAGGGGAGAUGCGGCACCUUUUAAGAUUAGGGAAAAGACCUUCUAGAAGCCUGAUUUAGGUUUCCCAAUGUCAUUUAGAUUUCCCCCUUUCAGCUGGAAAUUAGGAAAAGCUAAGGUUUGGAUAAUGUUUCCUUUUUCUUGCUAAUUCCUUGAUUUCUUUUGUCUUGAAUUUAUUUCCUUCAUUUCCUUGCUCAUUCCUAGCCUCCUUUGAACUUCAAAUUCGUCCAUCCACCUUGCUCCAAGCAUGUGUUAUCCAUUCCAAGCCCAAAACUACUCCAAAAUGCUCCAAAUUGCACUUUCUUGCUACUUUAGCCCUUUGGACCUACAAACACACGAAAAUAGCUUAAAAUACUAAAAUAACUAGGAACUAACAACAUAAAUGCAAGAAAACAAGCUAACUAAGUCGCAAAAAUAUGCUCCUAUCAUGAUAGAACCCCGAUUUCUUCAUGGUUUCAGAGCAAAUUGUCCCACGUGUGAAGUCUAACGGCCACACGUGCUAUACGUCGCCUGAGUUGUGUUGUACACGUGUGAAGCCUAACAACCACACAUGCUCCACGUCAAUGAGUUGUGUUGUUCACAUAUUAGACUUGGAAAUUUAUCACACGUGAGGCGACGCAUUGAGAAUGAAACCCACACUGAUGAGAAGAGAGACCUUACAUGUGCUUAUAAGUAGUUGGGCUAUUUCCCAUAUUGCCAAUUGAUUUAUGGUGGAACCCCAACUUCUUCACUUACAAUUCACGUAAUCGAGUUCUCUUGCUCAAGAUGUAAACAUUUUAAUAAAACUUAAUAAAAUUCCGUCGUUUGACAAAAAAGCUCUUUUUAAAUGUUUUGUAAUUUGAUAGAGUGAGAAGUUUUCUUCUUUACUUAUUUCUCUUUACUCAAAAUCCAUAAGAAUUAACAAAGCCAUAUACUCACCCUAAAAAAAAUUAAAAAAAUGCAUAGCCAUAUACUCGAGGAGAAGAAGUCAACAGCAAAGGAAAUUAUCAAUUUUGAAGAUUUCUUUCAUUUUCUAGAUCCGCAGCACAUUACGCCAAAGUACGAGCUAGCAUUGUACACACCCCAUAAGUCCACCCAUACCACCGAGAUAUUUUUAAUGUACCUGAAGCACAAGUUGGUAUCUCAUGUGUAUCAUAAUAUAAGUGGAGAGAUAAUCUAUUUUUCAAUGUCUUUCUACUUGUAUUAUGACACAUAGUGUAUUAGUUUGUGUUCUCGGUACAUUGAAAAAUUUCUCCGUAGUACCAUAGCCAGACUCACAGCAGAGAGUGUAUAUAUAUGAGCUACCAUUGAAGACUUCCGCCUAAGUGGGGAAGCAUCAAUUGUUUGGUUUUCAUUCCAAGUCUUAUUUACAUUAAGCCAAAGAAUGUUUCAAAAUCCCGGAAUUUAGAUGGGACCACGAAUUCAUUACAUAAAUGGACUAAACACGCAAAACACUACGUACAAAUUCUUCAAACCAUAUGGAAUUUCCAAGCUAUUGACUAUUACUCAUAUGAAAGCAUAAUUCAUCACCUUAUUAUUUGAAUUAAACAAAAUAAUUCUUAUAUUCAGAUGUGAAAUUCAAAGUGUGAUCCUUUUCCCAUAAAUGUUGACUUACCAGUUAUAAAAAGUCAAUCACGAUGGGAUAGACUCGUUCGUUCCUCGUCAAGAGGCCGGGCCGACGCGUCAAAGACUCCAUGCCAACAAGUCUUUAAUUUGUUGCUCUUUCUUUACUCUUGAGCUUUGGCCUUCUUUAUUUAUAGGCUUCAGUUCUUGGUAUAUCCUACAACAAUAACACAAUCCGGUAGAAAGACAAAGAGAGAUGGAGAGCAAGGUGGUGAUUGUUUUCGGUGUGAUUGUGGCAGUGUUGUUGCACAGUGUGGCAGCGCAGACAGUACAUGUGGUCGGAGGUAGCAUAGGUUGGACCAUCCCUCAAUCCGGUGCACAAGAGUAUGUGUUGAGUUUUGGUUUCAAUAUUUGUUGUAUAUUUCAUUAUGAAGAUUACAAGAGAGUGAAGGCAACUCUUAUAGAGAGCCAAAAGAAAGCUACAAUAGAUUGUAGGAUAACUACACAAACACAAUCUCUAAAAUCUGCCCUAACAAGUGGAAAAGCAAAAACCAAAUUACAAGUAAAGAAGCUUUUACAAGCAACUAAGAAAGGUUGAUGUAAGGUGAAUAACAAGCUAUGGAAAGUGACUGGUGAAUGACAAGCUAUGGAAAGUGACUUUAGCCUAUGACUUAGCUAAAGUGAGGAUGACAACUCAUACAAACAACUCAUCCAUACAAAACCGGUUUCAAUACACCCCCUCAAGCUGGAUCAAGGGGAUUGAUUGAUCCAAGUUUGCACAACAAACGUUGAAACUGAGUAGAGUCUAGUGCUUUUGUGAAUAAAUCAGUAAGUUGAUCGUGGCUGCGUGUGAACACGGUGUCUAUCACCUUGGAUUGAACCUGAGCACGAAUAUAAUGGCAGUCAACUUCAAUAUGUUUGGUCCUUUCAUGGAAUAUUGGAUUGGAGGCAAUGUGCAUGGCAGCUUGGUUAUCACAAUACAAGGACAUAGGUGCCAUGCUUGUGAAUCUGAGCUCGGAAAGAAGACCUUUCAACCAUAUGAGUUCACAUGUUGUUGCUGCUAUAGCCCUAUACUCAGCUUCAACACUAGAUCGAGCAAUAAUAGUUUGUUUCUUGCUCUUCCAAGUGACAAGGUUCUCUCUAACAAAUGUGCAAAAACCUAUUGUGGAUUUUCGAUCAAGGGCAUUUCCAGCCCAGUCAUCCAUUGUUCCUCAUAAUUAUCCCCCUUCCUACUAAGCCCUUAAGAUAUCGAAGUAUUCUCUUGACGAUUUCCCAGUGAACUAGAGUAGGAGAGUGCAUGAACUGACUGGCUAGGCUAACUGAAUAUGAGAUAUCAGGCCUAGUAAUGGUGAGAUAAAUAAGUUUCCCAACCAUUCGCUGAUAAACACUAGGGUCCGAAAGAGGUUCACCUUUUCCAUGCCAUUGAAGUUUGCUAGCUAGGGGUGUCCGAGCUGGUUUACAUUCCAUCAUGUUAGCUUCAUCUAGAAGAUCAAGAACAUACUUUCUUUGAUUCAAGAACAAUCCCUUUGAAGAGGUAGCCACCUUAAUUCCAAGAAAGUAUUUCAAGGGCCCCAAGUCUUUAAUGGAAAUUUUUUGGUGAAGUGACUGCUUAAGCGUCUUGAUUUCACUUAUAUUGUCACCUGUAAUAAUUAGGUCGUCAACAUAUAUAAGCACAACCAAUUUGCCAGCAAUACUACUUCGAACAAAUAAAGAAGAGUCAACAUGACUCCUUUUGAACCCUGCAGCUUCAAGGACUGAACUAAGCUCUGAAUACCAAGCUCGAGGGGACUGUUUGAGACCAUAUAUGGCUUUGUGAAGUCUGCAGACCUUGUUGGGUUCAUUUUCUCUUGGGUGACCAGGAGGCAACUUCAUGUACACUUCUUCUUUAAGAUCCUCAUGAAGAAAUGCAUUCUUCACAUCCAUUUGGAAUAAGGGCCAUGCAUUAUUGACUGCCACAGACAACAAUACCCUCACUGUGUUCAUUUUGGCAACAGGAGCAAAGGUCUCCUUAUAGUCAAUGCCAUAGGUUUGAGUAAAGCCUUGAGCUACUAACCGUGCUUUGUGUCUUUCAAUGCUUCCAUUGGAGUUGAAUUUGGUCUUAUAUAUCCACCUACUUCCCACGAUCUUCUUGCCAUUUGGAAGAUCCACCACACUCCAUGUCUGGUUAUCAUUAAGAGCUUGAAGCUCUUUAGUCAUAGCAUCUUGCCACUCAGGCAUGCAUGUGGCUUCAUGAAAAUUCCUUGCUUCGAAAGUGUGAGACAAUUUGUUAAGGAAAGAAGUAUGAGAAUAUGAGAAUCUGUGAUAAGAAAUGGCUGCAGAGAUAUGAUGCCUUGCAGUGUAAGUAACAUACUUUUGUAACCUCACUGGUGGAUGUCUAUCUCGUGUAGGAUUUCUUCUUGGUGCACUUAUAGCUUGCUGAUUUGGUUGAGCUUCUGAUGGUCCAAAGGAGCUUGGCACUGCAUCAAUUACACUCUCAGUGAGUUGAGAAUUAUUAGUGCUGAUAUGAGCAGGAGUGACUUCAUGAAUUUCUGCUGGAAUAGGUAGUGGAAAUAGGUCCAUAAGAUCUUCCAUAUUAACAUUAGUCUCCAACCCUUUGUGGAAAUAAGGUGAAUAUUCAUCAAAUCGCACAUCUCUAGAGACUGCUAGCUUCCCCGUGUUAGGGUUGUACACUUUGUAACCCUUUUGAGAACUGGUAUAUCCCAUAAACACACAUUUGGCAGCUCGACGGUCGAGUUUGUCACGAUGGAGAGCUUGAAUGUGCACAUAACAAGUACAACUAAAGGUCCUGAGGUGAGACAAGUUUAUAAGCCUGCCCUUCAUGACUUCAAAAUGAGAUUUAGUAUUCAACACCCGAGUUGGUAGUCUAUUAAUGAUGUACGUGGCAGUGAGUAGGGCUUGAGACCAAAAUUUCUUAGGAACAUUCAUUUGGAUCAUAAAUGAUCAAGUCUUCUCCAAUAAGUCUUGAUUCUUUCUCUCUACCACACCAUUUUGUUGUGGUGUACCAACACAGCUAGUUUGAUGCAAAAUGCCAUGAUUGCUCAAGUAAUUACUCAUGUUAUUAGAAGUGUACUCAGUACCAUUAUCUGAUCUUAACAUAUAUAACUUAGAUGAAAAUUGAUUGGUGAUUAGAUUGUGAAAGUCCUUAAAAGCAUCAAACAAAUCACUUUUAAGUUUUAAAGGAUACAACCAGGUUACUCUAGAAUAGUCAUCAAUAAAUGUAACAUAAUAUAUAUACCCAUCAAAGGAUUCUACACGAGAAGGACCCCAAAUAUCAGAGUGAACAAGCUAAAAAAGUUUACUAGUUCUAGAAUUAGAGGAAACAAAAGGAAGUCUAAUGGCUUUUGACAUUUGACAAGUUUCACACUCUAGUGUGUUUUUACAAAAAAAAGGGAAACAACUUGGUCAUCACAUGUUCUGAGGGAUGGGCAAGGCGUUGAUGUCAUAGUUGGUGUUCCUGAACUUGACUUAAGUUGACACUGAGCUUUUUGAAAAAUUGGACUCCUUUGAGAGAUAGUAGAGUCCAUUCAAGAAGAACCCUUCACCAAUCUUUUUCUGAGUAACUCGGUCCUGAAACACAACAGUGUGAGGGGAAAAUAUGGCAAGACGGUCUAAGGUUUUUGUGAUUUUUCCUAUUGACAAGAGUUGAAAAGGAAAAGAAGGUACAUAGAGAGCAGUGGAAUCAGUAUGCUCACUUAGCAAUCUAAUCUUUCCGUUCCCUAGAAUAGGUUCCUCUUUCCCAUUUGCAAUAGAUACAUGAAUUAGAUCAAUAGUUCUUUGAAAAUUGUGGAAACUAGAGGGUUUAUUAGUUAUAUGAUCAGUGGCACUGGAGUCAAUAAUCCAAAAAUCAUGUGUAACAUUUGCAUUAAGAGCAGUGGAAAUGGCAUUGAUAAUACCUGGAAUAUUGCCUUUCGAUGUGUUCUCCGAGUCAUCCAAGAAUCCAGCAAAUUUCCCUAGCAUUGCAGUAGGGUUUUCAGGUGUCAUUUCAUCAGGUUCAGUGCUUCCUUGCUUCUUUUGAAGAAAAACAACAAACUCGUUGAUCAAGGACACAUGAUUUGUUGAGAAAUUGGCCAUCCCAUCAGUUGAGGAACAAGCUGAAUGAAAUGCUUUUGGAGUGACUCCACCCUUCCCAUCUUUGAUCAUCCUGCCUUCCCUAUCAAACUUAGGCUUUAACUCCAGAUGAAGAAUCCAACAUUUUUCUCUCAAAUGUCACUUCAUGUCGCAAUAAGAACAUUUCCAGCCUGCUUUCUUGCCAAGCACCUUAUCACCAGUUGCUUUGUGAUUUGUCGUGAAAACCCUAGCUUCAGAGUUGGAUUUGGGCUCAACGUUCAUCACUCUUUUUCGAGUUUCCUCUAUCUGGACUGCAUGACACACACUGGUAAAAGAGGGCAGCUCUUGAGUCAUUAACAAGUGACUACGCAGGUCUUCAUACUCCGCUCCCAAGCUUGCUAAGAGUUGAAACACCUUGUCUUCAUCAGCCCUCUUCAGUAGCACAGUGGAAUCAGUUGUGUGUGGACGAUACAUAUCGAGUUCAUUCCACAUGGAUUUCAUACUUCCAAGGUGUUGAACAUAGGAGUGAUCACCUUGCUUUAAACUAGCCACACUCUUCUUCAGUUGAAAGAUGCGAACUGAGUUGUUUUGGCUGCCAUACAUGUCUUUGACAGACUCCCAUAGGAGAAGGGAAGACUCUGAGUAACUGAAAAGCUCAGACAGUUUUGGCCCUAUGGAGUUAAGUAAUCAGGACAUGACCAGCUGAUCAAUAGCAUGCCAUGCAUCAUAAGUUGGUGAAGUGGAUUCUGGGGGCUCAGAGCUUCCAUUGAUAAACCCUAGCUUUAAUCUUCCUCCUAGAGCAAGUGACACAGCUCUUGACCAAGGAAGGUAGUUGAACUCGUUCAGUAUCACCGAGCAGAGUCGUUAAUUUGGAUUGUUCUUAACCCUUUGGGUUAAGUUUGGGGAGGAGGAUGAGGCACUGUCGGCACUAGACACAUUUUCUUCUGCCAUCUCUAUCGAUGAUGAGCAAAUGAAGAAGUAAAAAAAAUGAACAGAGUCAUGACCCUAUAGUUCCUGCUCUGAUACCAUAUUGAGUUUUGGUUUCAAUAUUUGUUUGUAGGAUAACUACACAAACACAAUCCCUAAAAUCUGUCCUAACAAGUGGAAAAGCAAAAACCAAAUUACAAGUAAAAAAGCUUUUACAAGCAACUAAGAAAGGUUGAUGUAAGGUGAAUGACAAGCUAUGGAAAUUGACUGGUGAAUGACAAGCUAUGAAAAGUGACUUUAGCCUAUGACUUAGCUAAGGUGAGGAUGACAACUCAUACAUACAACCCAUCCAUACAAACCGGUUUCAAUAGUAUGUCACUUGGGCUGCAAGCAACAAGUUCAUGGUUGGCGAUACUCUAAGUAAGCUUCCCAUCUCUUCUAAUUUCCAUCGUCUUCUUUAUUAAGUUAAUAACUUCGUGAACUCAUUAUUGAACUCAUGGUUUGCGAGUUUGUUGUCCCUAAUUUGUGUCUUCUUUUAUGUCUGCAUUCUAAUUUUUUUACAUGUGUCUCUCAACUUAAUUCCAUAUUUAACAAGCAGCAAACAACCAUCUAAACUCCAACGAUAAAUUUUUCAUUAUGACCGGAAUACGGGUUGUACACCACGUAUAUUUAUAUAAGUGGUCGAAAAUUUUAUAUUUUAAGUUAAUAAUUUUUUAACAUACAUAUCAUACCAUUUUUAUAGUGAAACAUGGUGUAUCAUCCCAUGUUCUUGUUAUAUCUCAAACUCCAACGCCAAAACAUGUCGACAACCACCCACACCAAUCAGACCAUCAUGUCAGCGACGCUGCUCCUUAUAGCUGUCAAAAAAUAAAAAUUUUCUAUUUCUCUCGAUCCUUCUACAUAUAUAGUGAAUCCACGAUUAUUACCAUUCAACAAGAUCACAUGAUUAUAAUUAUCAAAUGGAAUUUCAAUUAAUUUCCGUUAGCCUUGAAGUUAUUAAGUAACUAUCCAUCACUCAAGUUUUCUUACAUUUGAUGUUUCUUAAAUAUUUUCCAGUUUCUAACUUCGCCACAAACGCACACGAUGUACAAGAAGUACCCAAAGCAUCAUUCGACUCGUGUAGUUCGGAAAACCCAGUUAGCACAGCUAUCACAACUGGCCCAGCAAACAUCACUCCCACCUCUUCUAGCGACCACUACUACAUUUGCACUUAUGGCCGUCAUUGCCAGUCGGGCCAGAAGCUAGCCAUCACCGUCUCAGCUGCUUCCCCAGGCGCAUCACCUUCUGUGCCACCACCGCCCUCUACCAGUAACACCCCUCCAACUACCCCUUCCCCCACAUCAAAUGACCC
rnacentral:lncRNA from 1 species